ensembl:piRNA 21ur-2490 ncRNA
UGCAUUCCGAAUAAGCAGAUC